UACAGAGGUCUCAAGCGUUGUUCGGAUUCAUUGGGCGUAAAGGGCGCGUAGGCGGCGGGGUAAGUCUGGUGUGAAAUCUCGGAGCUCAACUCCGAAAUUGCACUGGAUACUGCUCUGCUUGAGGGCUGGAGAGGAGAUCGGAAUUCACGGUGUAGCAGUGAAAUGCGUAGAUAUCGUGAGGAAGACCAGUGGCGAAAGCGGAUCUCUGGACAGCUCCUGACGCUGAUGCGCGAAGGCUAGGGGAGCAAACGGG
rnacentral:rRNA from 1 species